UACGUAGGGUGCGAGCGUUGUCCGGAAUUACUGGGCGUAAAGGGCGCGCAGGCGGCCGACCAAGUCAGAUGUGAAAUAGCUCGGCUUAACCGGGCGGGGUCAUUUGAAACUGGUCAGCUAGAGUACAGCAGAGGUUAGCGGAAUUCCCGGUGUAGUGGUGAAAUGCGUAGAGAUCGGGAGGAACACCAGAGGCGAAGGCGGCUAACUGGGCAUGUACUGACGCUGAGGCGCGAAGGCUAAGGGAGCAAACAGG
rnacentral:rRNA from 1 species